GGUGGGGUGACCGAGAGGCUAGGUCACGGCCCGCAAGGCCGUGCACGCAGGUUCAACUCCUGCCCCCACCU
rnacentral:tRNA from 1 species